CACUAUUCGCAAUCGUAAAUAGAUCAAAAAUUUACCAGAGUACUAUGAAUGUAUAAAAAUUUAAAACUCAAAGGGCUUGGCGGUGUUUUAGACCUAUCAGGGGAACCUGUCUCGUAAUCGACAAUCCGCGCAAAACCUAACCCUAUUUUGUAUUCAGUUUGUAUACCGUCGUCGUCAGGUAACUUUUAAAAAAUUAGAAGUUAGCAAUAAAAAUAAGGUAGAUUAAUACGUCAGAUCAAGGUGCAGCUAAUGAAAGGGAGAGGAUGGGUUACAAUUAUAUUAUUUAUAAUCACGGAUAGUUAAAUGAAAAUAUAACUUAAAGGAGGACUUGAAAGUAAAAUAAAAUAUAUAAACAAUUUGAAUACGGCUCUGAAACGUGC
rnacentral:rRNA from 1 species